UACGUAGGGACCAAGCGUUGUUCGGAUUUACUGGGCGUAAAGGGCGCGUAGGCGGCGCGGUAAGUCACUUGUGAAAUCUCUGAGCUUAACUCAGAACGGCCAAGUGAUACUGCAGUGCUAGAGUGUGGAAGGGGCAAUCGGAAUUCUUGGUGUAGCGGUGAAAUGCGUAGAUAUCAAGAGGAACACCUGAGGUGAAGGACGGGUUGCUGGGCCAACACUGACGCUGAGGCGCGAAAGCCAGGGGAGCAAACGGG
rnacentral:rRNA from 1 species